AGACCCGAAACCCGGUGAUCUAGCCAUGGGCAGGUUGAAGGUUGGGUAACACUAACUGGAGGACCGAACCGACUAAUGUUGAAAAAUUAGCGGAUGACCUGUGGCUGGGGGUGAAAGGCCAAUCAAACCGGGAGAUAGCUGGUUCUCCCCGAAAGCUAUUUAGGUAGCGCCUCGUGAAUUCAUCUCCGGGGGUAGAGCACUGUUUCGGCUAGGGGGCCAUCCCGGCUUACCAACCCGAUGCAAACUGCGAAUACCGGAGAAUGUUAUCACGGGAGACACACGGCGGGUGCUAACGUCCGUCGUGAAGAGGGAAACAACCCAGACCGCCAGCUAAGGUCCCAAAGUCAUGGUUAAGUGGGAAACGAUGUGGGAAGGCCCAGACAGCCAGGAUGUUGGCUUAGAAGCAGCCAUCAUUUAAAGAAAGCGUAAUAGCUCACUGGUCGAGUCGGCCUGCGCGGAAGAUGUAACGGGGCUAAACCAUGCACCGAAGCUGCGGCAGCGACACUAUGUGUUGUUGGGUAGGGGAGCGUUCUGUAAGCCUGCGAAGGUGGCCUGUGAGGGUUGCUGGAGGUAUCAGAAGUGCGAAUGCUGACAUAAGUAACGAUAAAGCGGGUGAAAAGCCCGCUCGCCGGAAGACCAAGGGUUCCUGUCCAACGUUAAUCGGGGCAGGGUGAGUCGACCCCUAAGGCGAGGCCGAAAGGCGUAGUCGAUGGGAAACGGGUUAAUAUUCCCGUACUUGGUGUUACUGCGAAGGGGGGACGGAGAAGGCUAUGUUGGCCGGGCGACGGUUGUCCCGGUUUAAGCGUGUAGGUGUGUGUUCCAGGUAAAUCCGGUU
rnacentral:rRNA from 4 species